rnacentral:rRNA from 1 species
UACAGAGGGUGCGAGCGUUGUCCGGAAUCACUGGGCGUAAAGGGCGCGUAGGUGGCGGCCCAAGUCCAUGGUGAAAGCUCGAUGCUCAACAUCGAGUCGGCCACGGAUACUGGGUUGCUCGAGCACUGUAGGGGCAGAUGGAAUUCCGGGUGUAGCGGUGGAAUGCGUAGAGAUCCGGAAGAACACCGGUGGCGAAGGCGGUCUGCUGGGCGAGUUGC